CGCCUGACCAGAUAGCCAUGCUCGUCUAGUACAAUCUAAUGAUGGUGAAACUGCAAAUGGCUCAUUACAACGGUUAUGAUGUACCCGGGAGUUCCGAUGGAUAUUUCCCGUAACACUAGAACUAAUACAUGUCCCUGCGUUUAUUAGUUUCGCACAGUCCGUCGCUGAGUCAUGGUAAACAGUUGAUCGACUCGACGUCCCGGAACAGUUUCCGCCCCAUCAGCUUCGAUGGUUGGGUAUUGGCCUACCAUUGCAACAACGGGUAACGAGGAAUUAGGGUUUGAUUUCGGAGAGGGAGCCUGAGAAACGGCUACCACAUCUACGGAUGGCAGCAGGCGCGCAAAUUACCCAAUGCAGACACUGUGAGGUAGUGACGAGAAAUAAUAAAGCGGGACUUCUGUUUCGCUAUUAUAAUGAGGAAUAACCAAAGGUCAUUCCGAUUAGCAGCUGAUGGGAAAGUCUGGUGCCAGCAGCCGCGGUAAUACCAGCGUCAGUAGCAU
rnacentral:rRNA from 1 species